CACGAUUCGGGGGUGGUCCCGAGGGUCAAAAAACUGCGCAUUAUACAUGGGUAUCUACGCUUUAUGUGAGAUAUCGCUCACAUGUCAAAAAGUCGGACAAUAGUUUGGCGAGCGGAAAAGUAGCUGACGCCUAAAGGUUAGAAAAUAUUGUAGAAGAAACAUUGAGAAAUACCGGCGACGGCUUGAUAGCAGCAUGUUUCAUAUGAGCAGAUGCUGUCAGCGAAUAGGACUUGCAUCGCAGGGAAGGACCGAGGGAAUGGACUGGCUGGC
rnacentral:lncRNA from 1 species